UACGUAGGGUGCGAGCGUUGUCCGGAAUUAUUGGGCGUAAAGAGCUUGUAGGCGGUUUGUCGCGUCUGCUGUGAAAAUCCGGGGCUCAACCCCGGACUUGCAGUGGGUACGGGCAGACUAGAGUGUGGUAGGGGAGACUGGAAUUCCUGGUGUAGCGGUGAAAUGCGCAGAUAUCAGGAGGAACACCGGUGGGCGAAGGCGGGUCUCUGGGCCGAAUACGUGACGCUGGGGACGCGAAAAGCGUGGGGAGCAAACAGGG
rnacentral:rRNA from 1 species